rnacentral:rRNA from 1 species
UACGGGGGGAGCAAGCGUUGUUCGGAUUUACUGGGCGUAAAGGCGCGUAGGCGGCCAGCACAAGUCAGUUGUGAAAUCUCCGAGCUUAACUCGGAACGGUCAACUGAUACUGUGCGGCUAGAGUGCAGAAGGGGCAACUGGAAUUCUUGGUGUAGCGGUGAAAUGCGUAGAUAUCAAGAGGAACACCUGCGGCGAAGGCGGGUUGCUGGGCUGACACUGACGCUGAGGCGCGAAAGCUAGGGGAGCGAACGGG